rnacentral:rRNA from 1 species
UACGUAGGUGACAAGCGUUGUCCGGAUUUACUGGGCGUAAAGAGCGCGCAGGCGGUCGUUCAAGUCGAGUGUGAAAGCCCCCGGCUCAACUGGGGAGGGUCACUCGAUACUGAUCGACUCGAAGGCAGGAGAGGGUAGUGGAAUUCCCGGUGUAGUGGUGAAAUGCGUAGAUAUCGGGAGGAACACCAGUGGCGAAGGCGGCCAUCUGGGACAACACUGACGCUGAAGCACGAAAGCGUGGGGAGCAAACAGG